UUGAACGCUGGCGGCAUGCUUUACACAUGCAAGUCGAACGGCAGCGGGGGCUUCGGCCUGCCGGCGAGUGGCGAACGGGUGAGUAAUGCAUCGGAACGUACCCAGUCGUGGGGGAUAACUACGCGAAAGCGUAGCUAAUAGCGCAUACGUCCUGAGGGAGAAAGCGGGGGAUCUUCGGACCUCGCGCGAUUGGAGCGGCCGAUGUCGGAUUAGCUAGUCGGUGAGGUAAAGGCUCACCUAGGCGACGAUCCGUAGCGGGUCUGAGAGGAGGAGCAGCCACACUGGGACUGAGACACGGCCCAGACGCCUACGGGAGGCAGCAGUGGGGAAUUUUGGACAAUGGGCGCAAGCCUGAUCCAGCCAUGCCGCGUGAGUGAAGAAGGCCUUCGGGUUGUAAAGCUCUUUCGGCCGGGAAGAAAUCGUGGUCUCUAACAUAGGCCAGGGAUGACGGUACCGGACUAAGAAGCACCGGCUAACUACGU
rnacentral:rRNA from 1 species